UAGAACUGAUCUUUUUUUCUCAUCAUUUUUACAGUAAUGAAGUGUCUCUUGGAGGCUCACGACUCGAACCGAGCACGUUUUGACAAGGAAUGCCUGACAUAUUUGACAAGCAGAAUGAAGAUGUGGGAAGUGGCUGCUAGGGUUGCCCCACCUGAAACCAUCGGUGAUCUUGCUGUUGCUAUCUCCGCUUCGCCUUCCAAGAACUACUUCUUCGUCAUUUUCGCUACAUGCUUAGCUCUUAUUUUUGUUGGCGGACUUGUGUUUGGUCGUCUUUCCAAGAGAAUCAAAAGGGAGGUUAAGGACCGAUGAACGCGGGACCACAUGAACAUAGUACUAACAAACACCAUGCCCCUCCAACAAGAGAAUUGAUUUUCUGACGAAGGACUCUCUGGACAUUGGAUUCCUGUACAAAAUAGCGUUCGAUCCACUUAAAGUAGUUAGGUCAUUGGUGGAAUCUACAAACCAAACCUGGGUCAAAAUAAUUAAUUGAACUAUUUUAUCCCUUACAUUUUUUCGCGCGAAAAUCCUUUCACCGCCGCGGCCAUUUUAUAUGGGAAAGGGCCCUUGUUUGCACACCUUACACUGUUUAGGAUAAAGUGUGUUCAUUUGAUACAUUUGGUUUAUUUUGUACAGUAUCUUCUAUAUAUCAGCAAUUAAAUUUUCAUUUUUCACUUAAAGUAAACGAAAGAAGUACAGGUGUUUGUCGUUUAACCCAAGUGCAAUUCCAAGCGGUGAUGUUGACAUGGAGUCCAGCUUUAGGCAGAAUGAAAGCUUAGAUACUGAAUCAAUAAUGGAAUUUUUUGUUGGUUUACAAGGAUUCGUUUGUAUCGGGAAAAAUAAAAUGAGUAACGUUUAAUGCAGAACUACAUUUCAGUUGUUAAGGACUCUUCUCUUUGUACAGAGGGGCUCUAUGUUCGUCCUGUACCGAGUUUAUAGGCGAACCUUCAGAAGCAAGAAGGUAAUGUUGCUGUAUUGAAAGUGAAGGGUUUGCCGGAUAUCUUAUAGCUGGAUAUAUGGACAGUUUCCUGCUGUAGAUGGGCUGGUACAAGUCUACCUUACACAACUUUCUUACUGUUGUUCUCUUCUUACAUUUCUGCCCCAGUGUUCAGUGUAAUCCCUAAAACACGAUGAACGUUAGAAAAAAAUAUGAAUAAAUUCAUCAUUGAAUUAGACUUAGCAAGCAAAGGUAUUCUGUAAGGUAUUAAGCUUUGUUUUGAAGUUAAGCAGUAGUGCCAUUAAAAUAUUUUUUCGCUGUCUUAAAUUGAUGUGUUUGGCGAAAUGCAUAAAUACUUACUAUUUAUGUUUACGUUAAGUGAGGAGUCGAGUUGCCCCCAAGAUCAAGAGGCAGAUCAGCAAGUUCUUUCCUAAGCUCGUAGAGUCUAUUGUCCCCGACAGUCACUUAACGCCUUUGGUCUAAGAAGGUUGUCAGCGUGUUCUUGCAAGUACUAAUAAAGAAUUUGUUUUUUAGCUGGACGUUGGAAAAAAAGUCUGUUUAUAAGUGAAUUAAAUUAUUUGUCAAAACCAAUAGAGAAACUCGACAGCUUUCCUAAAGGCUUCGUCAAAAGAUCUUAUCACCAAUGGAGACCGCUGAGUUAAAAAGAUUGCCAACCCCGGCUUAUCAUGGGGUAUUUGUUCCGCUCUUAGAGUGCUUUCAGAGGGCUCUUGAUAUUUUUGGGAUUAUAUGAACAAUAUUCUGUGCGGUCCAUUUAUAGUUAGUGUGUGAAAAAUAAAACUCGUUGUGUAGUUAAAUGUGAAUGGUUAUUAAAACUUUGCAAGGAA
rnacentral:lncRNA from 1 species